rnacentral:tRNA from 1 species
GGAAAUGUAGCUCAGUCGGUAGAGCACAGGACUGAAAAUCCUGGUGUCGGCGGUUCGAUCCCGCCCGUUUCCAC